GGGGGAAUAUUGGACAAUGGGCGAAAGCCUGAUCCAGCCAUGCCGCGUGAGUGAUGAAGGCCCUAGGGUUGUAAAGCUCUUUUGUGCGGGAAGAUAAUGACGGUACCGCAAGAAUAAGCCCCGGCUAACUUCGUGCCAGCAGCCGCGGUAAUACGAAGGGGGCUAGCGUUGCUCGGAAUCACUGGGCGUAAAGGGUGCGUAGGCGGGUUUCUAAGUCAGAGGUGAAAGCCUGGAGCUCAACUCCAGAACUGCCUUUGAUACUGGAAGUCUUGAGUUCGGGAGAGGUGAGUGGAACUGCGAGUGUAGAGGUGAAAUUCGUAGAUAUUCGCAAGAACACCAGUGGCGAAGGCGACUUACUGGACACAUAUUGACGCUGAGGUGCGAAAGCGUGGGGAGCAAA
rnacentral:rRNA from 1 species